rnacentral:misc_RNA from 1 species
CAAAAGGAAAAAUCGAUAUUAGGUUCAUAGGUUGUUCACGCUGCUAUGCCUUGGAUUGUUCACAAAUCUUCUUGUUGUAAUAAUACAAUCUGCUUGUUAUCUAUGAAUUCAGAGGUAUUGUUUUCAUUUCUUGAUUUCUUCUUCCUCUUCUGGUUUUGAUCCCUCUAUGUGUAUAACAGAGAAAGUGUUCCAUUGUUAUUUUCUUGGGGAAGAUUUUCCCUGGAACCAAACAAGAGCUGGGGUUCAGUGAGCUUUUUUUCUAAUUUUAAAGUUAUGGGUUUGUUUAGGAGUUGUGGAUUGUAGUUGAGUUUUGAGCUAAUCAUUCAUUUCCUGGUGUAACUAAUUUUAAGAUUUUCAUUGUUAUUUUGCCUUUUCUAUAUUCAUUGAAUAAUUGAAGCUAGCAUGAUUAAUCAGUUCUUGGGCUUUAUUUUGUUUUUGGGUAAAGGGUAUUUUUGGUGGAAAAAACAACUUUCCCAAUUUAUUGCCUUAAUUAUAGUUGGGAUAUAUAUAU